rnacentral:rRNA from 1 species
UCGCCCGCCGCGCCCCGCGCCCGGCCCGCCGCCCCCGCCCCCCUACGGGAGGCAGCAGUGGGGAAUUUUGGGCAAUGGGCGAAAGCCUGACCCAGCGACGCCGCGUUGGGGAUGAAGUCCUUCGGGGCGUAAACCCAUGUUGUAGGGGAAGAAGAAAGUGACGGUACCCUACGAGAAAGCCCCGGCCAACUACGUGCCAGCAGCCGCGGUAAAACGUAGGGGGCGAGCGUUGUCCGGAAUUACUGGGCGUAAAGGGCAUGCAGGCGGUGCGCCAAGUCGGGGGUGUAAAGUUACGGCUCAACCGUGACCUUGCAAUCGAAACUGGCGCACUGGAGUGCGGGAGAGGGAAGUGGAAUUCCCGGUGUAGCGGUGAAAUGCGUAGAUAUCGGGAGGAACGCCAGUGGCGAAGGCGGCUUCCUGGCCCGCGACUGACGCUCAUGUGCGAAAGCCAGGGGAGCGAACCGGAUUAGAUACCCGGGUAGUCCUGGCCGUAAACGAUGGGUGCUAGGUGUAGG